rnacentral:rRNA from 1 species
GCCUACGGGGGGCAGCAGUAGGGAAUCUUCCACAAUGGGCGAAAGCCUGAUGGAGCAACGCCGCGUGGGUGAAGAAGGUCUUCGGAUCGUAAAACCCUGUUGUUAGAGAAGAAAGUGCGUGAGAGUAACUGUUCACGUUUCGACGGUAUCUAGCCAGAAGGCCACGGCUAACUACGUGCCAGCAGCCGCGGUAAUACGUAGGUGGCAAGCGUUAUCCGGAUUUAUUGGGCGUAAAGGGAACGCAGGCGGUCUUUUAAGUCUGAUGUGAAAGCCUUCGGCUUAACCGGAGUAGUGCAUUGGAAACU